rnacentral:rRNA from 1 species
AAAUUUGAAAUCUGGCACCUUCGGUGUCCGAGUUGUAAUUUGAAGAAGGUAACUUUGGAGUUGGCUCUUGUCUAUGUUCCUUGGAACAGGACGUCACAGAGGGUGAGAAUCCCGUGCGAUGAGAUGUCCAACUCUAUGUAAAGUGCUUUCGAAGAGUCGAGUUGUUUGGGAAUGCAGCUCUAAGUGGGUGGUAAAUUCCAUCUAAAGCUAAAUAUUGGCGAGAGACCGAUAGCGAACAAGUACAGUGAUGGAAAGAUGAAAAGAACUUUGAAAAGAGAGUGAAAAAGUACGUGAAAUUGUUGAAAGGGAAGGGUUUGAGAUCAGACUUGGUAUUUUGUAUGUCUUGCUUUCGGGUGGGGCCUCUGCAGUUUACUGGGCCAGCAUCGGUUUGGACGGUAGGAUAAUGACAUUGGAAUGUGGCACUACUUCGGUGGUGUGUUAUAGACUUUGUUGAUACUGCCUGUCUAGACCGAGGACUGCGUCUUUGACUAGGAUGCUGGCAUAAUGAUCCUAAACCG